rnacentral:rRNA from 1 species
CCUACGGGUGGCUGCAGUGAGGAAUAUUGGUCAAUGGGCGCGAGCCUGACCCAGCCAAGUCGCGUGAGGGAAGACGGUUCUCUGGAUUGUAAACCUCUUUUGUCGGGGAGCCUAAGACGCCACGCGUGGCGAUCCGAGAGUACCCGAAGAAAAAGCAUCGGCUAACUCCGUGCCAGCAGCCGCGGUAAUACGGAGGUUGCGAUCGUUAUCCGGAUUUAUUGGGUUUAAAGGGUGAGCAGGCGGAAGAUCAAGUCAGCGGUAAAAUUGAGAGGCUCAACCUCUUCGAGCCGUUGAAACUGGUUGUCUUGAGUGAGUGAGAAGUAUGCGGAAUGCGUGGUGUAGCGGUGAAAUGCAUAGAUAUCACGCAGAACUCCGAUUGCGAAGGCAGCAUACCGGCGCUCAACUGACGCUCAGGCACGAAAGUGUGGGUAUCGAACAGGAUUAGAUACCCUAGUAGUC